GUACAUGUACGGAAUCCUUUAGUAGGAUAGAGGAGUGCUCGAAAGAGAGCCGUAACACAGGUGCUGCAUGGCUGUCGUCAGCUCGUGUCGUGAGAUGUUGGGUUAAGUCCCGCAACGAGCGCAACCCUUGUCAUUAGUUGCUACAUUUGGUUGGGCACUCUAAUGAGACUGCCGGUGACAAGCCGGAGGAAGGUGGGGAUGACGUCAAGUCCUCAUGGCCCUUAUAGGUGGGGCUACACACGUCAUACAAUGGAUGGUACAAAGGGUCGCCAACCCGCGAGGGGGAGCCAAUCCCAUAAAGCCAUUCGUAGUCCGGAUCGCAGUCUGCAACUCGACUGCGUGAAGUCGGAAUCGCUAGUAAUCAUGGAUCAGAAUGUCACGGUGAAUACGUUCCCGGGUCUU
rnacentral:rRNA from 1 species